CGGCCCUCGGCUCCCGGAGCGGGCGCUGCCCCGGGCCACGCCUCAGCCCACCCGCGCCAGCCUCCGGGCGCCACCUCAGUGGGGCGGCGCGCCCCGCAGCCGCUGCCUUCCUCUUCCCUUCAGGCCCCUCGUCCCCAGCUGCGGAGCCCCCUCGGAAAUCUGAGCCUUUAGUUUCGUGGUGCCUUGGAGAAGCAGUGGCCACAUAAGGGAUGGUGCAGUGUGGAGGAAGGACUGUCACCACAGGAGGCAAGGUGAUGAUCAAGGCCAAGAAUUCAGCAGGGAAAAGAAAGGGGAGCAAGAGAGUCCAGGAUUGUGGAGUAGAAUGGUCCACUAUCUGGAAUUGCCAGAUUAUUUCCUCAUGAUUCAUGAUUAGAUUUUAGGCUAAGCAGUUUUGGCAAGAAUAGGAUGCAGGUGAUGUAUGUAUGUCUUUUUUUUAAGGAUUUAUUUAUUUUAUUUUAUUUCUUCCCCCUCCUCCCUUGUUUGUGCUCACUGUCUGCUCUUGGUUCUCCACAGUGGCGCAGGCCAGCUUGCUUU
rnacentral:lncRNA from 1 species